UAGGGAAUAUUGGGCAAUGGAGGCAACUCUGACCCAGCCAUGCCGCGUGCAGGAAGACGGUCCUAUGGAUUGUAAACUGCUUUUAUCAUAGAGUAACCGCAGGGACGUGUCCUUGCCUGCAAGUAUAUGAUGAAUAAGCAUCGGCUAACUCCGUGCCAGCAGCCGCGGUAAUACGGAGGAUGCAAGCGUUAUCCGGAUUUAUUGGGUUUAAAGGGUGCGCAGGCGGAUCGGUAAGUCAGGGGUGAAAUUUAGCUGCUUAACAGCCAAACUGCCUUUGAUACUGCCGGACUAGAGUUUAAAUGACGUUGCCGGAAUGUGAUGUGUAGCGGUGAAAUGCAUAGAUAUGUCACAGAACGCCGAUCGUGAAGACAGGUAACGAAUUUAAUACAGACGCUCAUGCACGAAAGCGUGGGGAUCAAACAGGAUUAGAUACCCUGGUAGUCCACGCUGUAAACGAUGAUCACUCGUUGUUGGGU
rnacentral:rRNA from 1 species